UGGGGAAUAUUGCACAAUGGGGGAAACCCUGAUGCAGCGACGCCGCGUGAGCGAAGAAGGCUUUCGAGUCGUAAAGCUCUGUCCUAUGAGAAGAUAAUGACAGUACCAUAGGAAUAAGGACCGGCUAAUUACGUGCCAGCAGCCGCGGUAAUACGUAAGGUCCGAGCGUUGUCCGGAAUCAUUGGGCGUAAAGGGUACGUAGGCGGGUAAGCAAGUUAGAAGUGAAAUCCUGUAGCUCAACUACAGUAAGCUUUUAAAACUGCUCAUCUUGAGAUAUGGAAGGGAAAGUGGAAUUCCUAGUGUAGCGGUGAAAUGCGCAGAUAUUAGGAGGAAUACCGGUGGCGAAGGCGACUUCCUGGCCAUAAUCUGACGCUGAGGUACGAAAGCGUGGGUAGCAAACAGG
rnacentral:rRNA from 1 species